AUGCUGGAGGGCAGAAGAUGAAGUACAUGUGUGUUAUUCUCGACUGAUCGACCAGGAGAUACCCUACAUACAGGCGAGUCGCUUUGUCGGUCUGCUUCUAAUCGAACUAGUCCCUCAGUUUUAAAUCUAUUGGCAAGAAGUUUUGGGUUGGAACCAGAAUAUUAACUUCUUGUAUGUGCAACUCAUAGAAGGCGAUAUUUUCGACCCCAUAAAAUAUAUAUAUUCGUCUGAUAUAGCCAAGUCCAUCCGUCUGUCUGUUAGUUUCUAUGCGAACUCGUUUCUUACUUUACAUAAGUGCGUCUUUCUGCGAUAAGUCGUACAUGGAUCAGGCCACUAUAUCAUAUAGCUACCAAAGGAACAAUCGGCUUUUCAAGAUAUUUUCAUCAAACUCAGCAAAGCCGUAAGCCUUAUGUCUACAAGGGUAUUUAAUCCCCAGCGUGGCGAAGAUAGGAAUUCUUUCUGCUUUUUUUCAUAUCUAUGUCUAUGUAAACACACACGCUAAGCGUGCUUUCCUUGGGAAGAAACUAUAUUAAAUAACUUUUGUUAACCUUUCACAAUAUGUAGAUAAAACGCGUGAUAAAAAUAGCUUUUCAUGCUUUUCCUAAUGUCUAGAGAGAUAAAGUUGUCCAAAUAAACACUGAUAUUUUUAUACCCUA